UUCGUCACAUAUGAAACCUGUAGUUCGCGAAGGGCGAUACCAAUCUGGAUCUCUCCGAAGACUGGAUAUGUUCGGAUGAUAAAAUUCAUCGAAUAUAACAGAUUGCCCAGCGAAUUUGCUACGUGGAAGAGGUGGAUAAUCUUUGAGACGCCAUCCGUAAAUCCAGUUUGUGCAAUCCGGAUAAUAAUAACGCUUCUCUGGAAUGUCUUUCAGUCUAAAAUGAUCGACGCUUAUUAGUCGGUGAUGAAGCUGGGCUGGUCUUCGUAUAAAAUGGCCUUUACUCGCGGAUCAACGGGUGUCAUUAUAUCCAUUUUUAUGGAACCGUCUGGUUCGCGCGGUCUCCAAUUCGGCAGCGGUUUCAAACGUAUCUAUGAAACAUAAAAAUGCAUACUGUGUCCACUACGGUCGGUUCUCUUUCUGGCUCGAUCUUCGACGGCAAUUCGAUCUUUUCCGUCUUCUUCAAAUGAUCCAACAAUUUCUGCUGGUUCGUCAAGAACCAUCUGAUACGCGUGUUCUCCUCUUUCUCUAUCAUCGCGGUGUAAAAUCCUUGGCAACGAGCGUCGCAAAUGCUUCCCCUGCUCGCCAUCGUUCACGUACUCAGGAAUUUGUACAAGAGCGAGACCAAAAUCUGCGAUGAGAGACCGUGGAAAUGGACAUUGCUGGUAUCACCCUUGCUACUCCACGCAACGUGAGUAUUUAUUUAAAUAAUUAAAAAAAUACACAAUCAAA